GAUGUGGCUUAGUGGUAGAGCACUUGCCUAGCAUGCACAAGGCCCUGGGUUCAAUUCCCAGUAUC
rnacentral:tRNA from 1 species